AGAGUUUGAUCCUGGCUCAGGACGAACGCUUGCGGCGUGCCUAAGAAAUGCAAGUCGAACGGACCACCAGCAAUGGUGGUUAGUGGCGAACGGUCGCGUAACACGUAGGCAACCUGCCCGAAAGUGGGGGACAACAUCCCGAAAGGGGUGCUAAUACCGCAUGUGGCCACAGAAUCGCAUGGUUUUGUGUCUAAAGCUUGAUGCGCUUUCGGAUGGGCUUGCGGCCUAUCAGCUUGUUGGUGGGGUAAUGGCCUACCAAGGCGACGACGGGUAGCUGGUCUGAGAGGACGAUCAGCCGGAUUGGGACUGAGAUACGGCCCAGACUCCUACGGGGGGCAGCAAUUAGGAAUCUUGCGCAAUGGGCGAAAGCCUGACGCAGCGACGCCGCGUGAAGGAUGAAGGCCUUCGGGUCGUAAACUUCUUUUCUCAAGGAAGAAGAAUGUGACGGUACUUGAGGAAUAAGCCCCGGCUAACUACGUGCCAGCAGCCGCGGUAAUACGUAGGGGGCGAGCGUUGUCCGAAGUUACUGGGCGUAAAGCGCGCGUAGGCGGUUUUUUAAGUCUGGUGUGAAAGGUUCAGGGCUCAACCCGAACAGUGCACUGGAUACUGGGAAACUUGAGUGCGGGAGAGGGAAGCGGAAUUCCUGGUGUAGCGGUGAAAUGCGUAGAUAUCAGGAGGAACACCGAUGGCGAAGGCAGCUUCCUGGCCUGCAACUGACGCUGAGGUGCGAAAGCGUGGGGAGCGAACGGGAUUAGAUACCCCUGUAGUCC
rnacentral:rRNA from 1 species